GUAGCUCAGUGGCAGAGCAUCUGACUUGCAGGCAGAAGUUCCUUGGUUCAAUUCCUGGCAUCUCCA